AGGUGUGGUGGCGCAUGCCUGUAAUCCCAGCUACUCAGGAGGCUGAGGCAGGAGAAUCGCUUGAACCCGGGAGGCAGAGGGCACGGUGGCUCAUGCCUGUAAUCCCAGCACUUUGGGAGGCUGAGGCAGGUGGAUCACCUGAGGUCAGGAGUUCAAAACCAGCCUGACCAACAUGGUGAAACCCCCAUCUCUACUAAAAAUACAAAAUUAGCUGGGUGUGGUGGUGCACACCUGUAGUCCCAGCUACUCAGGA
rnacentral:lncRNA from 1 species